rnacentral:lncRNA from 1 species
AAGUAUUCCGGUAGGGCACAUUGUGCCGACAACAAUUAUAUAUAUUUGAAGGUACUACUAUCGAGGAUUCUCCGUGAGUAACGUGUAGUCUGCAGAGUUGUCCAUCAACCAUCCAUCUUGAGUGAGGAUCAAACCUAAACUUUGAGCAAGGUAAACGACUCACUUACCACGAGACCAAUGAAUGGUUGGUAAAUCCAAUCCUCAUUCAAGAUUUAUGUAAGGAAUUGAAUUAGG